AUCGCUUCUCGGCCUUUUGGCUAAGAUCAAGUGUAGUAUCUGUUCUUAUCAGUUCUCCAUGUUUAAGGUGGAAAAACUUUCUGAUAAUUCACAUAAAGUGGUGAUUGUCAGAAUGUUUAAUGAAACCGUAACAGGAGAAGACAUUGUUACAUGGCUGGCUAGAUUCUGUACCGUUAAAAGCCCACCUAUC